rnacentral:rRNA from 1 species
AUCAACGCUGGCGGCGUGCCUAACACAUGCAAGUCGAACGCGAAAGCCCCGCAAGGGGUAAGUAGAGUGGCAAACGGGUGAGUAACACGUGGGUGACCUGCCUUCGAGUGGGGGAUAACGUCCCGAAAGGGACGCUAAUACCGCAUGACAUCCUGCUUUUGAAAAAGCGGAGAUCAAAGCUGGGGAUCGCAAGACCUAGCGCUUGAAGAGGGGCCCGCGCCUGAUUAGCUAGUUGGUGAGGUAACGGCUCACCAAGGCGACGAUCAGUAUCCGGCCUGAGAGGGCGGACGGACACACUGGGACUGAGACACGGCCCAGACUCCUACGGGGGGCAGCAGUGGGGAAUUGUUCGCAAUGGGCGCAAGCCUGACGACGCAACGCCGCGUGGAGGACGAAGAUCUUCGGGUCGUAAACUCCUGUCGAGCGGGACGAACGCUUCGCGGAUGAAUAAUCCGCGGAAUUGACGGUACCGCUAAAGGAAGCCCCGGCUAACUCCGUG